AGAAUAUCAGCAUAGUGAUGAAAAAGUCCCCAAAAGGGCUCCAUCUGGUUUGGCUAUAACUCCUGCAGAAAACCCAGUCUAUGCUGGAUGCACCCAUCUUUCCUCUCUCUCAUUGACCUUUUUACAGGGUUCCUGACAAGAUUUAUGUCUGUUUUGCACUGCAAUGUGCUAUCAUUCAACAUGACAGUAUUGGAAUAAUCCAGCAUGUAAGAGCAAAACUGGUCAACAGCGUGUACAAAUUUGGGUCUAAACCUCUGACCACUUCACAUAUUGAUCUUAAUUGGUGGAGCCUGAUAAGAAUCACAGAAAAUGCCGAGUUGGAAGGGACCCACAAGGAUUGAGUCCAACCCUGCACAGGACCAUCCCCAUCACACCAUGUGCCUGAGAGUAUCAUGCAAAUGCUUCUUGAACUCUGGCAUGCUUGGUGCUGUGACUAUUUCUCAUCACAGAGAAGAGAUCAGUGCCUGCCUCUCCUCUUCCCCUUAUGAGGAAGUUGUAGACUGCAAUAAGGUCUCCCCUCUGUCUCCUACAGGCUGAACAGACCAAGUGACCUCAGCCGCUUCUCAUACAGCUUCCCCUCAAGGCCCUUUACUAUCUUUGUUACCCUCCUUUGGACACUCUCUAAUAGCUUAAUAUCUUUCUUAUAUUGUGGUGCCCAAAACUGCUCACAAUAUUCAAGGUGAGGCUGCACAACUGCAGAGGAGAGCGGGACAAUCCCCUCCCUCAACCAGCUGGUGAUGCUUUGCCUGAUGCCCCCCAGGACACGAUUGGCCCUCCUGCGUGCCAGGGCACUGCUGACUCAUAUUCAACUUGCCAUCAACCAGGACCCCCAGGUCCCUUUCUGUGGCACUGCUUUCCAGCAUCUCAUUCCCCAGUCUGUAUGAACUGAGAGAGUUGCCCCAUCCCAGGUGCAAGAUCUGGCACUUGCCCUCGUUGAAUGCAAAUGUUGUAUAGGAACAUUAAUCCAACUAAAUGAAAAGUAUAUAUGUGCUGUGUGCAUGUUGGUGGGGAUACCCAUUUUGUGUCUUAAAAACUGGGGAAGUAUUGAUUCUUGUCAUUAUAGUCUAGUUUUUAUUCUGUUGAUGGCUCUCAAUAAAAUUAUUUAAAGUAUUUAAAACUUUCAACCAAUCUUCAGUAAUGGGAAAUGAGUUCCAGAGAAAAGUUAAGGACAAAUAAUUGAAGUAAAAAGCAGAAAUUCCUCUAUUGAUCUUUUACUAAUUUAAGUUUAUCAUACCUUAAUCCCUUUGUUGUUCGCUAACUUGUUUCUAAUCUCUCUGUGCCACUUCACUCUUUUCUCUCAGAGUCAGGUCCAAUGAAAAUGCUGCAUCUCUUCAUCCUAGAUAGGAUGAAGAUAUCUAAGACCAAAACUUCUUUCUGAAAUCCCCCUUUGCUCCACUGCCACCUAAUGAUGAAGGCACACCACCUCAUGCAAGGUCUCGGUGGAAAACUUUACACAAAAAAUUUAUGUUAUGGAGUACUUGUGUGACUAACACAUUUCGGAUCCCAGGCACAACAGUGUUGGGAUUUCGGAUCCCACCAGCUAAUGAGAAUUUAUUCAGUUGCCUCCUCAAUCCCACUUGACACAGAAGAGUACCAAAGCAUCAGGCAAUAUCUUAACUUGGUGGCAGAGGAGGCAAGGAGGAACAUGACUUUGUCUCUCAGGGGACUGAGCUUUCUGCAGGGAUCCUGGGUUCUAUUCAGGGACCACAGCUGCAUUUUAUGCAAUGCCUGCGUAAAGGAAUUACUCUAAAUUCUCUGCUGAUUUGAAUUUAUUCUGCUUUCAUUUUUUUCUAUACCUUAGGGAAGCAUGGUCUUAGCAUUGGCUAAGCAGAAAUGAUAGCAGCCUUGGAGCUCAUAAAAAGAGUAUUUGUAGGCCAAAGUUUUCAAGAGGACCUACUUGAAAGACUGAGAAUUUAAUUGAGAAUUAACAUAUUUUUUGUUUUUUAAAUCUUCAUUUCUAUUUUUUCUCACAACACAAUUCAAAAAGGAAAGUGUGCUUAUUUAGAUGUCGUUGCUGAUCUGUGAUUUGCUUGAUCUGCAGCGGUGGAUGAUCUGUACUUCAAACAAGUUUUAACUAGCCUGUACAAAGUGGGAGUUGUGUAGGUAUCAGCUGUGGGGCACGUGAAAUACUGGAGAGCUGGUUGAAUAAUCUAGCCACAGAAUGGCCCCAUCAUUGAAAUUUGUCAGGGACUCGUCCUAAUGAGCUCUGCAGCCACCCCAGGGUUUACACCUAGCAUCUCUUAUGAUGGCAGACAGAGCCUGCAUUUCAAGCCUGUUUUUACAGUUGAAAGCUCUCUUUCAACUGUAAAAAACACACCCUGUAUAGUAUACAGAGACUGUGCCAUUAGAGAUUACUCAUUCCCUGAAAGGCAGAAACCACUUUUCCCUCCAAAUGUCCCUCAGCCCUGAGUCAGGAUAGUGAGGAUGAAGUGUAUUUAUAAUGAACCUCUCUCCCCCGCUCAGCUCUGAUGCUCAUCCAUCAUCACCCGUGACAAGUUGUUAGUGCUCUGUCCACCCAGAAGGUAAAUCCAUCCUCAUCAGCCAGCGCUAAAUGCUGCCCCAGCCCAGUGGGUGUUGCCCAGACGCUGCAUCGGCUUCUGCUGCCUUUUCCUCUGGUUUAUCAAGAGAUGGCAGCAAAAAGCCACUUAACCUUUGAUCUCAGUCCUCGGGGCCUCUCUCUGUCAAGGGCUUCUGGCAGCCUUUACCCACCCACCCACCCACGCCUCCGCAGAGGCGCCUUGUCACACACAGCCGACAGCCCGGAGCCUCACCCGCCCUGUCAAGUAGGAGGGCGGUGGGAAUGACAGCCGGGACCAGGCUCAGCAGGGACCACGGCCAGAAGUAGGAGCAGGCAGCUGCAGCUGACACGAAAUCCGACCAUAGAAGGAGCCAGAGUUGGCCGGUGCCAUCAAUUAGGUAUUGAUGGGGCUUUCCCUGAGGCGAGAAAAGGAGUGUGGCAAGGAUCAGGCAUUAGGUGAAGAGUAAUAUUUCUGAAAAUGAGAAGGAACAAAAUGAAAGAACUGAAGCACCGAAAAAUAGGCAUGUAAAGAGUAAGUUCUUUAGGGGAAUGUAACCCUUGGCCUUGGGCCAUGGUGAUGGGAUUUCCCCUUCUAGAAAGGACUACAAAAUAUUCAAAGUAUGCAUGUUGCUAUCAUGAUGUUAUGUCCGAGGUGAGAGACACAGGAAGGAACUUUCUAAUUCACCGUGACAAGCUGACAAUUCAUUUGCUACAGUGAUAUUUGUGAGAGUAAAAAAAUUGGUAACAUAACAUGUCAGUAAAGACAGCUAGAAAAUAAAUAUUUUAAAAUUAGACAUGAUUAGAAAUAUAACACCCAGCUCUAUUUCAAAUAUUUUUUAGUUUUCUUGCUAAAGAAAGGAAUAAUUUUCAAAAUAAUUGGUCUUAAACUGGAUUUUAAAAAAACUUACAGUGUUCAUUAGUGAAUAGCAAGAGACUUCAUUAUUAAGUGUUUCAGGAUGCUUUCAGAAACUGAUUUCAGAUAAAGCAGCCAAAAUCAGCUGCAUUUCAAGUAAGGAUAAGUUCUGGGGCUUUCAGCGUCACUGCUUACUUUUAAAUGUCACUGUGGAGCUGCCAACAGGUAUGAAAAAGCAAGAGGCUGCUUAAGCCACCCAGCAGCUCAGUGUUUUUCCAGUUGGAGACAGAGAAAGUAUGAAAUGUACAUGGAGGGAAACUUGGAGUUCUAGAGGAUGCAAAGAGCAAUGUACCAUGUGAGAUGGACCCACCUUCGUUUAUCUUCUUAUUCUGUGGCACUGUAAUUGUGUAUUAACCAAAAUUGGAUGAAUUCCAUUUUCCUAUCUAGAAAUAUGAACGGUAGUUGUUUCUG